CUCGUAGGUGGUUCAACAAGUCGGUCGUGAAAGCCCGGGGCUCAACCCCGGGACGCCGGUCGAAACUGUUGUGACUAGGGUCCGGUAGAGGUGAGUGGAAUUCUCGGUGUAGCGGUGGAAUGCGCAGAUAUCGAGAGGAACACCAGUAGCGAAGGCGGCUCACUGGGCCGGUACCGACGCUGAGGAGCGAAAGCAUGGGGAGCAAACA
rnacentral:rRNA from 1 species